UUCCUACGGGAGGCAGCAGUGAGGAAUAUUGGUCAAUGGUCGGGAGACUGAACCAGCCAAGCCGCGUGAGGGAUGAAGGUACAGAGUAUCGUAAACCUCUUUUGUCAGGGAACAAAGGCGGGGACGCGUCCCCGGAUGAGUGUACCCGAAGAAAAAGCAUCGGCUAACUCCGUGCCAGCAGCCGCGGUAAUACGGAGGAUGCGAGCGUUAUCCGGAUUUAUUGGGUUUAAAGGGUGCGUAGGCGGUCCGUUAAGUCUGCGGUAAAAUUGCGGGGCUCAACCCCGUCGAGCCGUUGAAACUGGCAG
rnacentral:rRNA from 1 species